AGAGUUGAUUAUGGCGUCAGGAUGAACGCUGGCGGCGUGCUUAACACAUGCAAGUCGAACGGAGUUAGAGAGCUUGCUCUUAAACUUAGUGGCGGACGGGUGAGUAACGCGUGGGUAACCUGCCUUUCACUGGGGGAUAACAGUUAGAAAUGACUGCUAAUACCGCAUAAGCGCACGGGUUCGCAUGAACUAGUGUGAAAAAACUCCGGUGGUGAAAGAUGGACCCGCGUCUGAUUAGAUAGUUGGUGAGGUAACGGCCCACCAAGUCAACGAUCAGUAGCCGGCCUGAGAGGGUGAACGGCCACAUUGGGACUGAGACACGGCCCAAACUCCUACGGGAGGCAGCAGUGGGGAAUAUUGCACAAUGGGGGAGACCCUGAUGCAAGCGACGCCGCGUGAGUGAAGAAGUAUUUCGGUAUGUAAAGCUCUAUCAGCAGGGAAGAAAAUGACGGUACCUGACUAAGAAGCCCCGGCUAACUACGUGCCAGCAGCGGC
rnacentral:rRNA from 1 species